UGCACUCAAGUGUCUAUGACACCUACCCUAGGAAGAGUAAGAGGCUACCUCGCCAAUUAGCUAAACCUCCAAUCAUUUCCCUCUUACACAUCCAAUCAUUAUUUCUUUUAAUUUCUUUUUUUUUUCUCAAGAAAACAAAAAGAACUCUCUCCAUUUUUCUCCCCAAAACUGAAGCUUGGUCUCUCUCUACCCUCCAUGCCUGCCAUUUUCUCUCCAAGAGCAAGAGCACUCUCUCCCCAUUGAAGAAGGAAGAAAGCUCAAGAGAUAUCUAGGCAAGUCUAUGCAUGGCAUGGAUCUUGUGUUCUACGUCUAAAGGGAAGUUGUUAUAAGAAAAUCUCAAAGUUUGAAACUUUUUGGCGUGAUCUAGUGAAAACAAAGGUAGGGUUCUAGAGUUUUUAUGUUUUUCCACUCAUCUCCUUCUUCUACCCUAAAAUUCUUUUAAAAAUAUGCAUAUGGAACUAUUGGGGCUUGACUUGAGUGUAUGGAACACAAGGAGGAAGUUUGAAAAGCUAAGGGAACCUCAUCUCCAAGCUAGAACCAUCAAAGGUAAGUGCAAAAGAAAAGUGGAGCAAUGAGCGUCGGAGUCUGCUUGUGGAUAUGUACAUGUGGCCCGACCUGAGGAGGUUUUGAUGGAACACCAUUUUGAAAAUAAAAGUUGGGAGCUUGUUAAUUCUUUUAUGACAUUUGUUUUGCUUUAACUCUGUAAAAGAGUAGUUGUAAUUCUGUUUGCUAAAACUAAAAGUGUGCAGACACGAUUUUUUUUUAAAAAAUAAAUAAAUAAAUGGA